CGCGUAGGCGGUUCUGUCGGUCAGAUGUGAAAGCCCGGGGCUCAACCCUGGAAGUGCAUUUGAAACAGCAGAACUUGAGUACGGGAGAGGAAAGCGGAAUUCCUGGUGUAGAGGUGAAAUUCGUAGAUAUCAGGAGGAACACCGAUGGCGAAGGCAGCUUUCUGGACCGAUACUGACGCUGAGGCGCGAAGGCGUGGGUAGCGAACG
rnacentral:rRNA from 1 species